AUUGAACGCUGGCGGCAUGCCUUACACAUGCAAGUCGAACGGCAGCACGGGUGCUUGCACCUGGUGGCGAGUGGCGAACGGGUGAGUAAUACAUCGGAAUGUACCUUGUAGUGGGGGAUAGCUCGGCGAAAGCCGGAUUAAUACCGCAUACGCUCUGAGGAGGAAAGCGGGGGACCUUCGGGCCUCGCGCUACAAGAGCAGCCGAUGUCAGAUUAGCUAGUUGGUGGGGUAAAAGCUCACCAAGGCGACGAUCUGUAGCUGGUCUGAGAGGACGACCAGCCACACUGGGACUGAGACACGGCCCAGACUCCUACGGGAGGCAGCAGUGGGGAAUUUUGGACAAUGGGCGAAAGCCUGAUCCAGCAAUGCCGCGUGUGUGAAGAAGGCCUUCGGGUUGUAAAGCACUUUUGUCCGGAAAGAAAUCCUUUGGGUUAAUACCUCGGGGGGAUGACGGUACCGGAAGAAUAAGCACCGGCUAACUACGUGCCAGCAGCCGCGGUAAUACGUAGGGUGCAAGCGUUAAUCGGAAUUACUGGGCGUAAAGCGUGCGCAGGCGGUUUUGUAAGACGGAUGUGAAAUCCCCGGGCUUAACCUGGGAACUGCAUUCGUGACUGCAAGGCUAGAGUAUGGCAGAGGGGGGUAGAAUUCCACGUGUAGCAGUGAAAUGCGUAGAGAUGUGGAGGAAUACCGAUGGCGAAGGCAGCCCCCUGGGCCAAUACUGACGCUCAUGCACGAAAGCGUGGGAGCAAACAGG
rnacentral:rRNA from 1 species